GUCUACAGCCAUACCACCCUGAAUGCACUAAAUCUCAUCUGAUCUCAGAAGAUAAGCAGGCUCAGCCCUGGUUAGUACUUGGAUGAGAGAAGGGGACCAAACACAUUCACUGAAGGAA
rnacentral:rRNA from 1 species